rnacentral:rRNA from 1 species
AUUGAACGCUGGCGGCAGGCCUAACACAUGCAAGUCGAGCGGCAGCGGGAAAGUAGCUUGCUACUUUUGCCGGCGAGCGGCGGACGGGUGAGUAAUGCCUGGGAAAUUGCCCAGUCGAGGGGGAUAACAGUUGGGAACGACUGCUAAUACCGCAUACGCCCUACGGGGGAAAGCAGGGGACCUUCGGGCCUUGCGCGAUUGGAUAUGCCCAGGUGGGAUUAGCUAGUUGGUGAGGUAAUGGCUCACCAAGGCGACGAUCCCUAGCUGGUCUGAGAGGAAGAGCAGCCACACUGGAACUGAGACACGGUCCAGACUCCUACGGGAGGCAGCAGUGGGGAAUAUUGCACAAUGGGGGAAACCCUGAUGCAGCCAUGCCGCGUGUGUGAAGAAGGCCUUCGGGUUGUAAAGCACUUUCAGCGAGGAGGAAAGGUUGAUGCCUAAUACGUAUCAACUGUGACGUUACUCGCAGAAGAAGCACCGGCUAACUCCGUGCCAGCCGCCGCGGUAAUAC